UUUCCGUAGGUGAACCUGCGGAAGGAUCAUUAUUGAAAUAAACCUGAUGGGGUUGCUGCUGGCUCUCUAGGGAGCAUGUGCACGCCUUGUCAUCUUUAUAUCUCCACCUGUGCACCUUUUGUAGACCCAUGGUCUAUGUUGCUUUUUCACAUACCCCAAUGCAUGUUAAUAGAAUGUUUGUGCCUAUAAAAUCUAUACAACUUUCAGCAACGGAUCUCUUGGCUCUC
rnacentral:misc_RNA from 1 species